CGGGAAAAGCUCAAAUUUGAAAUCUAUCAAUUUUAUUGAUCGAAUUGUAGUUUAAAGAUCCAUUUUCUCUGGUUUGGUCAGGUAUAAGUCCUUUGAGACAAGGCAUCAUAGAAGGUGAUAAUCCUGUUUAUGACUUGACUUCAGACCGGUUGUGAUAUGGUUUCUAU
rnacentral:rRNA from 1 species